AAAGGGGACAGAUCAACGUCAGCAGCAAUACGCAUAAUUGUAGAAUUAAUUACUGAUUUGGUAAUUUAGAUGCUGCCGAUGAUUGCUUCCGGUGUACUUCGCGUAUAAACGAUUUGUUCCGCAGCACUGGGCACGUUCGGUGGAUGUUGGUUUAAAAUUAGUUAAAUGGUAAAUUUUCAUCGCUCACACUUAUCAUUCCGUGAGGUUCUUCUGUAAGGCGAACAAGUAAAACUGAGGCCGACAGCAACUCAGCAGAGUUUUUAGAAAAUGUGCGAAUACUUACCGGCUUUGUGUGAAAUGAUUGCCGCUAUCAUUUUCGGAAACACGGAACCGAUCGAUGAGGAGUACUACAAUUACGAUGACAAUCCGACGUCCACCACUAUAACAUCGAACAACUUAUGAGGCGCAAUGGAUGGAUGAGAGCGCGUGAGAAUUAAAUACGGUUUCACAAUAUGAUGUAUGUUUUUAAUAAAUUAACUAUGUUUUGAAAAGUUUGCAAAA